ACUCAAAGGAAUUGACGGGGGCCCGCACAAGCGGUGGAGCAUGUUGUUUAAUACGUCACUAACCGUAGAACCUUACCAGGGCUUGACAUCCGGCGCUACCCGGUGAAAGCCGGGGUUCCCCGCAAGGGGACGCCGAGACAGGUGUUGCAUGGCUGUCGUCAGCUCGUGUCGUGAGAUGUUGGGUUAAGUCCCGCAACGAGCGCAACCCCCAUCCCAUGUUGCCAGCGGGUCAAGCCGGGGACUCUUGGGGAACUGCCCGGGUAACCGGGAGGAAGGUGGGGACGACGUCAAGUCAGCAUGGCCCUUACGCCCUGGGCUACAAACAUGCUACAAUGGGCGGCAGACAGAGGGAUCCGAGGUCGCGAGACGGAGGCAACCCCAGAAAUCCGCCCCCAGUUCAGAUCGCAGGCUGCAACUCGCCUGCGUGAAGUCGGAAUCGCUAGUAACCGCCGGUCAGAUAAACGGCGGUGAAUACGUUCCCGGGCCUUGUACACACCGCCCGU
rnacentral:rRNA from 1 species